CGAGCGCAGCCCCUAUUGUUAGUUGCCAUCAUUCAGUUGGGCACUCUAGCGAGACUGCCGGUAAUAAACCGGAGGAAGGUGGGGAUGACGUCAAAUCAUCAUGCCCCUUAUGACCUGGGCUACACACGUGCUACAAUGGUUGGUACAACGAGUUGCGAGUCGGUGACGGCGAGCUAAUCUCUUAAAGCCAAUCUCAGUUCGGAUUGUAGGCUGCAACUCGCCUACAUGAAGUCGGAAUCGCUAGUAAUCGCGGAUCAGCACGCCGCGGUGAAUACGUUUCCGGGCCUU
rnacentral:rRNA from 1 species